rnacentral:rRNA from 1 species
UUAUUUUUCUUUACAUUGUUACAUGCCCGAUCACAUCUGAUUUUGGAAGCUAAGCAGGGUCUGACUUGGCUGACAUUUGGGAUACGGCUGAAAAGCAAA